rnacentral:lncRNA from 1 species
CGUCGCGGCGUGGUCCUCGCGGGGCGCGGGAGACCCAGACUUCAGCCUCGCCACGCCUGCCCGGAGCUCGAGGCUCCCGGACCCCCGCCCACCUCUGCGACGUGAAGAGUGAGGCUUUGGGCCAGGCUGUUCCCCGAGGCGCGUGGGGAAGCGGGCGUGACCUCUUCUGAAAAGGCGGUAGGCUCGCUCCACCCAGGCCCAAGAGCCCACCCUUAGAGCUGCGCGCUUUAGGGUGAGCCAGGCACGAUGCCUGUUACCGCAUGAAGUUUUCAUUACCUUCUUUAAGAAAAGGACAAUUAAAUAUGAAUACAGACUCUUGGAGCAGCUUGUAUAAAUGAGCUACUGACC